UGAGACAACUCCGAGGAGUCUGAGAAAUUUGGGGGAAGAAUUUGAACUUGCCUGCAAUUCCCAAGCAGUAGAGGAAGUUGGUCGGAUGAUUACUUGCAGGUUUCUGAAAGUCUUCCCACUGGCAAUACCUCAGAAGGACACCAGAGGACGAUGUAUUUUAACUGUUCGGAUUCUCUCUAAAACCCCAUCUUUCUUUUUCAGAGUCUCAAAUCUCAACUGACAAAUUAACCUAAGAA
rnacentral:lncRNA from 1 species